rnacentral:RNase_P_RNA from 1 species
ACGGAAGAUCGGGCAGUCGCUGUGAUAUGCCGGGGAGACCUGACAUUUUUGCAGAGGAAAGUCCGGGCACCGCAGGACAGGAUACCUCCUGCUGAGGGAGGGGCCCGUAAGGGUACGGAAAGUGCCACAGAGAACAGACCGCUCUGCCCCGCAUUUUUAUGCGGGAACGGGGUGAGCAGUGAAAAGGCGGGGUAAGAGCCCACCGUUCCUUUUAAGGAAGCACGGUAAACCCUAUCCGGUGCAAGACCAAGUAGGAGAAAGAUUUCCCGGCCGUGAAAGCGUUCCGGGUUGGAGGCUGUCCGUCUCUCAUUUCUCGGGUGGGUUGCUCAAUGCUUCAGGAUCAUAUCCUGAGGCCAGAUAAAUGACUGCCUCUUUCAUAUACUAUGAAAAAGACAGAACCCGGCUUACAGAUCUUCCGUCACU